rnacentral:rRNA from 1 species
UACGUAGGGCGCAAGCGUUAUCCGGAAUUAUUGGGCGUAAAGAGCUCGUAGGCGGUUUGUCGCGUCUGCCGUGAAAGUCCGGGGCUCAACCCCGGACUUGCAGUGGGUACGGGCAGACUAGAGUGUGGUAGGGGAGACUGGAAUUCCUGGUGUAGCGGUGAAAUGCGCAGAUAUCAGGAGGAACACCGAUGGCGAAGGCAGGUCUCUGGGCCACUACUGACGCUGAGGAGCGAAAGCGUGGGGAGCGAACAGG